GGUCUUUAAUAAAAAGUGCUAUCACUAACGCUGUUAUCUUGUCAUCCAACCUGUUUUUUUUUUUUCAAUUUCUUCAACCAAACAAGAGAUGGGUUCGAUCCGUUUUUAAAAUCAUAGUUGUAACCAAACAAUAGAUGGGUUGACUCUAUCCUCAAAAUGAGGGUUGGAUCUAACCCAACCUACCUAAGUACCCACCCCGCAACCAAACACACAGUUAGUUUUUUGGGUAAACGAGCCAUUGCUGCCGACCACUGCCACGUCUCUAUAACCAAUAGGUCGGCCGACCAUCGCA
rnacentral:lncRNA from 1 species